CGUUAGGACCCGUGUAGCGGGGGCGCGGGCAUCGUGGGAGCAACGCUUUCCGCUUCUUGUCCCCCUCGCCCGCCACCGCCAGGCCGGCAUGGAAGGACCCAGCACGUCACGUGACUGGCUCGGGCAAGUCACGUGACGCGGAGCCCGCAAACGCCAGGCCUAGGGCCGAGCGGGUCUGGCGGAGCCCCUGGUCACCCGGGCGACGGGCUCUUAGGUGCUGGGGAUCCGAACUACCCGGCUUUCCCGUCAGAUACCUUUUUUCGGGUGGUGUCCUGUCAUGGGGGCAUGGGUCCCCUCUUACCAUGUCUGGCUGGCGGCGACCCAGAUGCCACGUGAUGGUCAUUUGAAGACAAGCCUGUCGGACAUCAGUUCAUUUGACCAGAUGUGAGCAUGCAAGAUACGGGUGAAUUGACUCUUUAUGAUCUUGGGUUCAGAUCCUGCCCUUCCUGUCCAGACCUUCUUGUUUCCUGUGGAUUUUGGCACCAUGCUGACCUCAGUGUUGCUAUUUAUCUGAGGUGUAGAUGCUGCACACAGGGAAGGGCCCAAGUGGUGCCUUGGGUGGCAAGAUAUCAAAGCAGCUCGCAUUGGUCUGAAGCUUUCCAGAAAGUUCCUGA